rfam:Oscillatoria nigro-viridis PCC 7112, complete genome.
GUCAACGACCCAGCACGGAAGUGACUGGGCUUCGGGGCUAAAACUUCAUUUUCAGUUGACCAGCCUGAUACCUUUGAUGUCUAGGUUGUGUGAGUAAUGACACCAAGUGGAUGCGUAGCUAGUCCCCUGUUCUGUCGUUAAGGGUUAAACAUCUUUAUUUGGGCUAAGGACGUGCCAUUAGCCGAAUCAGCUCAGAAAACAAAGGCGCGUGCUAACUUCAC